UCAAACCUCCAGGUUGUGCAGAAAACACAAACUGGAGAAGAUAGAGUUCAGAACGUGGAAUAGACACAGUUAUCGGAAGAGUUUACCUUUUUAUUCCAAUUUUACAGUUAUCAGAAGAGAGUUUACCUUUUUUGUUUCCCUACCGCAAAAUCUGCGAUGGUUUUACGAGGGAGAACGAGGACGACGCAAUUCAAUCUCCAUCCACUUUUUUACAGUUUUGAAGUUUGUUUCACAUGGAAAAUAUGGAAGAAGGAAGAGAAACAGCAGAAGAAGAGGGAACAAAAAUAGUUUUGAGUCAUCCUGUUCUGUUUUGGAUUUGGACCUCAGGAGCGGGGCAGAAGAGGUCUUGAUCAUGUUUUUUUUUUUCAUUUAGAUGGUUGAUCUACUCUCUAAUUUGGCGCUCGGACUUUUUUAUCUGCUUCUAUUUCCUAUGCAUAAUUUUUUAUAGACAAUUGGUGGACAAUGUUUUGACGGGACGGCGGUUGUUAGCCGUCAGGUGUGUCAAAGUGCGUGGAUGUGUUUGAUUUGAAAGAACUGGCGUGCUCUGAAAGGCUACGUGAAGGGUAUAUUUCUAUUUUCUUUUUCUUCCAUGUUUUAUUUAUUUAUUGGCGAUCAAAGGAUACUUCUUUCUUCUUCCAUUUUGGAAGAAAAAUGUUACAAUUGCUCUAUUCUGUAAUGGUUUUAAGGCUCUACAGAUGUCCUUAAUUGUUUUUGUCAAGUUUAGUUUAUCUUAA